rnacentral:tRNA from 2 species
GGGCCCGUAGCUCAGCCAGGUAGAGCGCCCGGCUCAUAACCGGGUGGUCGGGGGUUCAAAUCCCCCCGGGCCCA